rnacentral:rRNA from 1 species
GACGAACGCUGGCGGCGUGCUUAACACAUGCAAGUCGAGCGGUAAGGCCCUUUCGGGGGUACACGAGCGGCGAACGGGUGAGUAACACGUGGGUGACCUGCCCUCAGCUCUGGGAUAAGCCCGGGAAACUGGGUCUAAUACCGGAUAUGACUCCAUGACGCAUGUUGUGGGGUGGAAAGCCUUGUGCGGCUGAGGAUGGGCCCGCGGCCUAUCAGCUUGUUGGUGGGGUGANGGCCUACCAAGGCGACGACGGGUAGCCGGCCUGAGAGGGCGACCGGCCACACUGGGACUGAGACACGGCCCAGACUCCUACGGGAGGCAACGAGUGGGGAAGUCUUGUCGCAAUAGGGCG